rnacentral:sRNA from 1 species
GCUAGGGUACGGUGGUACAUGCUUGGAGUCCUGGCUACUUGGGAGGCUGGAGCUAGAGGAUUGCUUGAGCCCAGGAGUCCCAGGCAAGGCCAGGGACUUGAGCAACAUAGUGAGACCCUAUUUUUU